UUUUCAUAGAAAGGAAAACUGCGCCGUCAAACUUCUGAAGGGACAGCACUUAGCUUAAUACAUAUAGCAACUUAAUUAGUAUUCCAUAUAUUGUAAGCAAUAAGCAAUGUGGAGUCUCAACAAGCAAGAGGCACGGCAAUACAGUUAGUAAGACAUCGAUUCUAUCCUGUCGAGAUGCCCCGUGAAGAUUAUACCGCGUUUAAGUUCGCGGAAUCAAACUAAGUUUUUACCUAGCGCUUUCCUCACGUUAACCACUGCUCCUGCAGAGGCUAAUGAACGGCAGAAAAGGAUGGAGUCUCGUUCCAAAAAAGAGAUGUUAACAAUGUUCAAGAAUACCACCCAUGUUGAAGUAAUUCAAGAAGACGAGGUUGGAGAGGCACCUCAAACUGCAGGAGAGAAGGUCAUCGAUGGGAAAGACGAGAAAAUUGCAUUUGGAAACAGAAAUACAAAGACUGAAUCGUGUUAGAACUUUGAAUAAAUGCAAAAACGAGCAGUUAGCAGAAAUUAAACGCCUUAGGAUUUCCAUUAAAACCUCGGAAUUCCACAGAAACAAUUUGGAGCAAAAACUUAGCUGCAUUUUCACCAACGGCCAACAACUGAGCUAAUACAAGCGCAAAAAAUUUGUGUACUCAGUUUUGAUGAAAUGAAGGUCAGAAAAAGUUACUGCUACGAUUGAUCUACUGAUUCGGCAUUGCAUCCUGUUAACUACGUUCAGGUUGCAAUGAUAAGAGUAAAUGGAAACAAAGUGUAUUCUUCGAAUAUGCUUGUAAAAUGACGAAGGAAGUAUUGCUUAGCAUUUUGUCAAGUGUUAAAAAGUGCAGUUACAAUAUUGUUGCCAUUAUAAGCGAUUUGGGUGGAUCAAAUAGACGCCAAAAUCUUGGUUUUAACACAACGGAGACAGGAUUGUGGUUUUUUCUGAUGUCCCCCACUUAAUAAAAGUACAGAGAAAUCAUUUUUUGAAUAAGGGCUUUACUAUCAAUGGAAAAAUUUUUAGAAAAGACAUUAUUCUGAAGCUGCUCUCGUUUACGUACAACGAGCUGGAGCAGAAAGGCAAAAGAUUAAACUGGCCAAAAAAUUGUUCUCCCACGCAAUUGCUCAAGCAAUAACUCGAGCAGCUAGCUUAGGUCUACUAGAUUACGAAAAUUGGGAGGAAUGCCAUCGACUUUUCAAAAGUGGUGCCCAAAGAUGGAGUGAGGGAACGCUUGUACGCUUACGGUUUGCUUUGAACAAGCAAAAUAAUGUACUGGAACUGAUGACGGAGAUGGUUUCAUCAAUGAGAGUCAUUGGUAAAAAUGGUUUGCUUCCAUUCCAAAAAGAUUUAUAGGUAUACUCCAAAGCAAUAAUUCUUUGAAAUUGCUGCUGGAUGACUUAAGGCAGCAGUAUAAUAUUGAUUACGUUUUGACCUAUCGAUUAAAUCAGGACGUUUUGGAAAUUUUUUUUGGCGUAAUCAGGUCAAAAGACGGUCCUCACGAUCACCCUGACAGGCAGGAGUUGAAAUAUAGGCUGCGUUCUGUAUACUUGGUCACAACGAUGAAGGAAAUGUUGAAGUCGACAACACACCAGAUUUGGAAGGGAAUUACUUAUCUCUAGCCGAUAAUAUUUUUCAACGGGUGUCAGUUGAUCUAAAUUCCACUGACCCAAUUGAAAAAAAUUAUGACUUGGAGAUUCUCAACAACGAUGGACUUGAGAAUUUUGUGCCAAUUCAGAAAAUUGUUCGUCUUAUACUUGGGUGGAUCACCUUUCUGAAGGAGGACUCUCAAAACCAACAGAUAUGUUGAUGGAUCAUAUGAAAACCUUGCAAGCAGUAUUUGAAAACAUAAAUGGUACUGAUUUGCAUAUACAUACAUAUGUACGAAUUUCGUCCAGAAGCACUUAGACUUAAGUAAUUUUGUAAAUUGUAGCUCCAAAGUAAAAUAAUUGCUUUUUUAGAGCUAGAAUGUAUUUUAGAAUUCGUUCCUUGAAUAAAAACUUAAUUGAACAUAUGUAUAGCAAAAAAAUUAA